CAGACAUACGCAGGCCAGUCAGGAGGAUCCUAUGGAAUAGCAGGUCCUGGAGCAGUUCAGCAAGGAUACAAUGUUCUUAUGGAGCAGCUACAGACUGGCCAGCCAGCACCAAGUGAUGUCAUGUACAUUGGCCAGCCUCCAGUGUACAGUACAGCUGCAGAAGGUGUGUCCUACCCAGGUCAAGCCAUUCCCAACACAGUAUCUUACCAGCCUCCAGCCAAUCAGCCGCCAAGCUACAUCUCCCCCCUAACCCUGGCCAGAACCUUCCACUCCCACCUGACUCACAGCAGCAUCUGUACCCUGAGAAGACCCUGCUAUAGAACAGACAGCUACAUGCAGUAACAUUACAGAUGCACAGUCAAAAUCUAAAUGGGCAUCCAUAGAGACAGACUCUACACACACUCUUUUAAACUCGUACUGAUUCAUAGCACACUUUCUGUCACAUACACAAGUAUAUACACACUCAGUCAUAUACACAACCCCACCAACACACUCAUACUAAGAGUCAAAUACACAACCCAACCAACACACUCAUAUAGUCAAAUAAACAACCCAACCAACACACUCAUACAGUCAAAUACACAAUCCAACCAACACACUCAUACAGUCAAAUACACAAUCCAACCAACACACUCAUACAGUCAAAUACACAACCCAACUAACACACUCA